rnacentral:tRNA from 1 species
GUGGGUGUAUCUCAGAGGUAGAGCUCAUGCUUUACAUGCACAAGGUCCUGAGUUCAAUCCCCAGCACCUCCA